rnacentral:misc_RNA from 1 species
GAUUAAAAAAAAAACUCAAACUGUUUUCUUAAAAUUACAAUUUUAUCUGAAUUAUAUCAUAUUUAACUUAAAAUUAUAUGUCAUUAAAAAAAGAAAAGAUAAAAAACUUACAAUAUACAUAAUCUAUGUAAUAAAUCUUAAAACAAUUGCUUAAACAUGUAGAUUUUUAUUUUAUUUUAUAUGUGAUAUUAUAAAACUAUCAAAAAAAAAAUUU